rnacentral:lncRNA from 1 species
CACACACACAGAGUAACGAGAAGCAGAGACCGGCUGACGGGAAAGAAGAAAGGAAAAAGAAAAAAGGAAAAGGAAAAAGAAGAAGAAAAGAGGUGAGGUUAAUCUCUUCAAGUUGGGUUUAAUUUUUCCACUUGUUUUCGAGUGAUUAAGUAUGAUUUAUAUUAAAUUUUUAGGGUUUUAACUUGUAGAACAAAAUGUUGAAUCUUAGGUGAUAUUUGUACGAAUUGGAGCUCAAGUUUGGAGAUUUCUUCAUUUUCAAUUUCAGCUAGGUAAGGGAUAUUAUUUUAGCAAACCCUAUAAAUUUUAUUUGGGAUUUUUGAGAUUAAGUAUGUUUACGGAAAUAAUGAUGUUGAGAAAAUAAUUAUUUGGAAGUAUGAAAUUAUGGAACAAAAGGACAAAUUUAAUUAGUUGAAUUAUAGCAACUUCUUGUCACUUGAAUGAUGUGGACGUCAUAGCAAUGUUUGGAAGUGAAGGUUAUGUUGAUAAAUUAGUUAUUAGUCAAUGAAUUAUAAAGUGUGAUUAGCUCCAAUUAAUAAAGUAAAAUUUGAGAACUUAUUCAAGUGUCUAGAAAAUUUAAUUUUAAGUUCUAUCAUUAGAUAUUAAGGUUUCUUGAUUAGAUAGAGGAUAAUUUGGUUAUUAAUAUCGUAUUUCAGGUGGUGGCGAGGAAAUUGGAAACGUUUAUCAGCCAAUCUAGCUUGUAGCUCAUACCUUGUGAAUGGAUAUAAAACUUAUUUUUCAGAAAUAAGUCUUCUUUAAAUUUUAAAGUUAUUUAUUUUAUAAAGUCGACUUUAUAGUAUGAUUUUCAGAAUAAAAUGAAUUUUUAUUAUCAAUUGUUUUAAAGUUAAAUUCAAUUCAGUUAAAUUAUUUUAGUAGCAUGUUAUAUUCUUAUUACAUGUUUCAGUAUAGUUAAAGUUAUUUCUAAAAAUCACCAGAAGGUACCCAGGUGAUUUUAUCCCAGUUUGCACUGAUGUGAAUGUGUUUCCACGGUGUAUUACUAGUUACAGUGAUUUUACCCGCUCUGCACUAUCGUGAAUGUAUUUCCAUAGUGUAUGACUAGAUUAUUAGAGGUCUUUGGGACCCACUCUCGUACACAUAUAUGUUUUGGGCCGUGUACUAGGGUGAUUAGCCUUUAGGGUAGCUCUGCGUACGUAUGACCAGAUUAUCAAAUUAUCAGCUAUUAGAUUAUCAGAUUUGAAUGGCUUUGCCUUGUAUAUCGAGAUUACUCUGUACAUGAAUAAGACUAUUCAUUGGGUACUCUUUUUUUGGUGUGAUUUUUCAGUGCUUAUUCAGUUAUCAGAUUAUGGUGGCGAGGAAAUUGGAAACGUUUAUCAGCCAAUCUAGCUUGUAGCUCAUACCUUGUGAAUGGAUAUAAAACUUAUUUUUCAGAAAUAAGUCUUCUUUAAAUUUUAAAGUUAUUUAUUUUAUAAAGUCGACUUUAUAGUAUGAUUUUCAGAAUAAAAUGAAUUUUUAUUAUCAAUUGUUUUAAAGUUAAAUUCAAUUCAGUUAAAUUAUUUUAGUAGCAUGUUAUAUUCUUAUUACAUGUUUCAGUAUAGUUAAAGUUAUUUCUAAAAAUCACCAGAAGGUACCCAGGUGAUUUUAUCCCAGUUUGCACUGAUGUGAAUGUGUUUCCACGGUGUAUUACUAGUUACAGUGAUUUUACCCGCUCUGCACUAUCGUGAAUGUGUUUCCAUAGUGUAUGACUAGAUUAUUAGAGGUCUUUGGGACCCACUCUCGUACACAUAUAUGUUUUGGGCCGUGUACUAGGGUGAUUAGCCUUUAGGGUAGCUCUGCGUACGUAUGACCAGAUUAUCAAAUUAUCAGCUAUUAGAUUAUCAGAUUUGAAUGACUUUGCCUUGUAUAUCGAGAUUACUCUGUACAUGAAUAAGACUAUUCAUUGGGUACUCUUUUUUUGGUGUGAUUUUUCAGUGCUUAUUCAGUUAUCAGAUUAUGGAAUUCAGUUAAUUCAGUUUUCAGCUUCUAGUAUUGAGCAACAGCAAUAUUUCAUAGAUUUUCAUGAGUAUCAGAUUCUUUAUAUUUGUUAUACCUUACAAAUACUUAUCUAGAAUUUAGAAUAAAGAAUUUUAUAAUGUAAUCAUGUUUAGUUUUUAAAGACAUUACUAGAUUCAGAAAUUCUCAAGGAUUUAAUAAAGUUAAAAUUUUUAGAAAAUAUGGAUAAAUGGAAAAAGUUUACUUAUUUGCAAAUCCUCCACUCACUGAAUUACAAAUUCAUAUUUUUAUCAUAUUUUUCGUAUCAGGAGACCGUUGAUUUUUGAGAUACUGAGAAAAGCCUGCUGAAGCGAAAGAGACCGUUUCAUAGUAUGUAAUGUAUAGUUGGGAAACUCAUGUUUAUUAAGUAUUUGUCUAAUAUUUGGUGUGUCAUGCACUUCGUGGAAAUGUUUGUAAUUGAUGUAAUGCUUGC